AAGCGUGCGCAGGCGGUUAUAUAAGACAGAUGUGAAAUCCCCGGGCUCAACCUGGGAACUGCAUUUGUGACUGUAUAGCUGGAGUGCGGCAGAGGGGGAUGGAAUUCCGCGUGUAGCAGUGAAAUGCGUAGAUAUGCGGAGGAACACCGUAUGGCGAAGGCAAUCCCCUGGGCCUGCACUGACGCUCAUGCACGAAAGCGUGGGGAGCAAACAGGAUUAGAUACCCCUGU
rnacentral:rRNA from 1 species